ACAUGCUUACAACAUAGUGCUAAUGCACCAAAUCCCAUUAGAACUUCACAAUUAAGUGCGCUUAGGCUAGAGUAGUAUUGGGAUGGGUGACCUCCCAAGAAGUCCUACUGUUUUACAUGCC
rnacentral:rRNA from 1 species